UCGAUGGCCAGAACAUCGAAAUCGUAAUUUUUCUUUUAAUUAAUCGGCGGCGUACUGAGGAAUAUUAUAAUAUCCCGUAAAACGUGUCCUCCUGUGCCGUGGUUCCAUGGAAAAAUUAAGUGAAUUACUGUGCUUUAUUCCAUUGUACGAGAGUUUUGCACCGGCUGUAUACGGCAAACGUGCUCGUGAUCUCAGAUUAUAGGAUUUAGGCGCUUUGGGUGCGAAUUCUCCGGCGAACCUCGGGUGUACUUCUUAAACCCUCGAUCGCCCCGGGUCUGAUGAUGCACUAGCAUCUUGCCUUGAACCACACGGUACCACAUCAGCAGAUUAGCGUAAGAUCAUCAAACCAUUCAACCGUUUAACCAGAUCAUUUAACCAAAAGAUGGCUGGCGCCUACUUAUUCAGCACAGUUCUCGGGAUCGUUCUGGGAGCGUUGGUAGUUGUAGGGAAUGUGUGGUUGAACAACCGAAAUCAGAUAAUGGUCACAGAGAGUGAUUCACCAUAUUCAGUGCCAUUGACGUCUAAAACUGGAAAAAGCCCUGCCGUUCGGCGGGGUAAAUGUGAAUUUUGUUAUGAGCAAGGAGCACCGAUACGUGCCUGCAAUCAUGCAUACCACGAAACUUGCUAUUCUCACUGCGGCAACAAGUGUCGUCGAUGUCCAGAAUGAAAUCCUUUGCAAUAAAACAUAUUGGAAUUUUUUAAUUGUAUUGAGGAUUAAAGUGAAA